rnacentral:rRNA from 1 species
GACAGAGGGUGCGAGCGUUGUCCGGAGUCGCUGGGCGUAAAGCGCGCGCAGGCGGCAACCUUAGUGUCGUGUGAAAGCCCCCGGCUCAACCGGGGGAGGCCAUGGCAAACUGGGUCGCUCGAGCUGCGGAGAGGCUCCUCGAAUUGCCGGUGUAGCGGUGAAAUGCGUAGAGAUCGGCAGGAAGACCAAGGGGGAAGCCAGGGGGCUGGCCGCAGGCUGACGCUGAGGCGCGACAGCGUGGGGAGCAAACCGG